AGAGCCCCGUGGUGUGCAAGCAAACGCAAUGUCCUUUUGGCCAUCAGGAUAUUGUGGAGAUGUAGGCCUUAGGGGUACGCAGGUGAAGACAUGAGUGAAAUGGGCCUGCACUGCCCCUUGCUGACAAGCUCACCAGCCAUGGAACAAGAAGUGCUGCAGAGAAUGGACAUCCUGGGGCUGGGAACAUUCUCUCCUCUCAUCCAGGCUCCCGGAUCACCCCAGGCACAGCCAUCUGCAGAGUGCCUUCCUGCAGUUCUACCUGAGGCUCGAGCAUAAUCCUUCAUACUGGCAAGGAGGGUAUGGAAGGGUGAACAGUGCAGGAGCAGUACCUCCAUGCUGCCCUUCUGUGUCCCCUCUCUGUGGCUGGUUCCCCGGCCUCUUUCCAGACCAUGUGAGUGACAUGGGCAGUGUAGCAAGAGUGAUGUGGAAAGAUACAAAUGCCUUGCAAAUAAAAAUGAAUUGCUUCU
rnacentral:lncRNA from 1 species